rnacentral:rRNA from 1 species
AGCGUAGACGGUGUGGCAAGUCUGAUGUGAAAGGCAUGGGCUCAACCUGUGGACUGCAUUGGAAACUGUCAUACUUGAGUGCCGGAGGGGUAAGCGGAAUUCCUAGUGUAGCGGUGAAAUGCGUAGAUAUUAGGAGGAACACCAGUGGCGAAGGCGGCUUACUGGACGGUAACUGACGUUGAGACUCGAAAGCGUGGGAGCAAACA